AUCUCUGCUGCCAUAACUAUCUUCAUUCGAUGAUUGCAUCGUUUAACUUCAGAUCCUCUCUCCGGUGAUCCAAACAUCAAAGUGCUCGAUUCUGAUCUACGGUUGUGAACUUGAUUCCUGAUAUCCUGCUCCCUGUGAUGCGAACACGAAAGUUCUCGAUUCUGAUUUAUGGUUGUGAACUUGAUCCCUAAUCAAGCUAGUUUGUUGAACUUGGAGGAUGUCGAGUGAUGAAGUUCUUCACCUGCCCACAUGGGGAAGA